UGUCUAAGUCCAGCUGGGCGUUCUGGGUGCAAGCCUAGGCGCUCGGCGAAACCGCGGACGGCUCAUUAAAUCAGUCGUGGUCCAAAUGGGCUAGUGUUAUCUUACUUGGAUAACUGUGGUAAUUCCAGAGCUAAUACAUGCAACUGAAGGUUCGAUCGGUUAGGGGCAACUCUGGCUGUGACGACUGCUUUUAUUAGACCAAACCGCUCUGAGCUUCGGCUCUUAGACCCGUGUUAUGGUGACUCUGAAUAACACCACUUGACAAGCGCACGUAUCCACUCGUUGGGACGGCGCUGCCACUUUCGAGUGUCUGCCUUAUCAGCUAUGUAUCGUUCGUUAUGUGCGACCGAUGGCUUUGACGGGUAACGGGGAAUCAGAGUUCGAUUCCGGAGAGGCAGCCUGAGAAACGGCUACCACGUCCAAGGACGGCAGCAGGCACGCAAAUUACCCAAUCCCAGCAUCUGGGGGAGGUAGUGACGAAAUCUAACGAUGCGGGCGCCCCUUCUGGGGCCCCGCAAUCGGAAUGAGCAUUCUCUUUCUAAACACCCUGUUGAGAACCUACUGAAGGGCAAGUCUGGUGCCAGCAGCCGCGGUAAUUCCAGCUUCAGCAGCAUAUACUAAUGUUGCUGCGGUUAAAAGGCUCGCAGUUGAAUGUCAGUAUCGAGCGUAGCGAUGGUGGACGUUGGGGUUUGUUCGGAGGAUGAUGCGGUGUACUUGAGCCUUCGGGUGAGAGUCCUGUGUCUGAUGCCGGGCAAGCUUAAGCCCCCGUCCGUGUCAAGCCUCCUCGCUCGUGUACAAAGUGGAAGUUUCUGUUACAGGGAUGAGUGCGUGUUCUUCUUCGGGAGGAUGCGUGCGAGUCUCUUGAGUUUCCGAAGGCACCUUGAGUAAAUCAGAGUGCUCAAAGCAGUCGUAAGGAGCGUUCCGGUUCGGCCGUGCGCUCCGUGAUGAAUGUCAUUGCGACAGACGGUCUUGGUUUUGCAUGGUAUGUCGAAAGACGCCGCCGCUGUUGGUAACGGGUCUGGUGCGGGGUUGUGUCGUGUGCCGAAGCUCCUCACGGAGUCUGAGGUGCGUGCUCAGCCAUUUACAAAGACCAACAGUUGCGGAAUGAUUAAGAGGGACGGUCGAGGGCAUUAGUAUUGCGAGGCGAGAGGUGAAAUUCUAUGACCCCCGCAAGACUUCCUGAAGCGAAAGCGUCUGCCAAGGACGUUUCAUAAUCAUGAACGACCAGGCGUGGAGCUGCGGCUUAAUUUGACUCAACACGGGCCAUCUCACCAGGCCAGCACUCUUGUAUGAUUGACAGAUUGAGAGUUCUUUCUCGAUUCAGUGGAUGGUGGUGCAUGGCCGUUCUUAGUUGGUGGAGUGAUCUGUCUGGUUAAUUCCGAUAACGAACGAGACUCUCCCCUGCUAACUAGUCGGUUGGAUCUUGUAUCGAGAGUUGCCGAGGUGUGUUGUGUAAGGGAGUUUGGCGGGUCUGAACUGGUGUGUGCCGCGGGCUUUCGGGUUCGUGUGUGCCUCUGGUGAUGGCUUUAGCUUGCUUUCCUGCCUCAUGCUAGCUGGCACUCCAAGUCCGCCGCUUGCCCGGCUGCGGGUGCGCUUCGCGCGUGUUCGUGGUGGGUAAAACUCUUCUUAGAGGGAUUGACGGUUCUGAAGCCGUAAGAGACUGAGAGCAAUAACAGGUCUGUGAUGCCCUUAGAUGUUCUGGGCCGCACGCGCGCUACAAUGCCGGGCUCAGCAGGUGUUUGUCCUUCUCCGAGAGGAGUGGGUAACCCUUUGAAAGCCCUUUAAACUCUUUCGGUGCUGUCCACUCCUUGCGAGUGUGAUGGCCUAUUGGCUUGCUUGGGCCUGGGGCUUGCAAUUCUUUCCCACAAACGAGGAAUGCCUAGUAGCGGCGGAUCACUGAGUUCGCUGUGACUCAGUCCCUGCCCUUUGUACACACCGCCCGUCGCUACUACCGAUUGGGUGUACCAGUGAGAUCUUUGGACUGGCGAGCCUUGCGCAUACCGUUAACGCGGCGCGCAAGUGUGUACGACGGAAAGAGGCUCGAACUGGUGCACUUAGAGGAAGUAAAAGUCGUAACA
rnacentral:rRNA from 1 species